CAAGUCGAGCGGCAGCGCGGGGCAACCUGGCGGCGAGCGGCGAACGGGUGAGUAAUGCAUCGGAACAUGUCCAUGUCGUGGGGGAUAGCCCGGCGAAAGCCGGAUUAAUACCGCAUACGCCCGAGAGGGGAAAGUGGGGGACCGCAAGGCCUCACGCGAUUGGGUUGGCCGAUGUCCGAUUAGCUAGUUGGCGGGGUAAAGGCCCACCAAGGCGAUGAUCGGUAGCUGGUCUGAGAGGAUGAUCAGCCACACUGGGACUGAGACACGGCCCAGACUCCUACGGGAGGCAGCAGUGGGGAAUUUUGGACAAUGGGGGCAACCCUGAUCCAGCCAUUCCGCGUGAGUGAAGAAGGCCUUCGGGUUGUAAAGCUCUUUUGUCCGGAACGAAACGGUUAGCGUGAAUAUCGCUGACUACUGACGGUACCGGAAGAAUAAGCACCGGCUAACUACGUGCCAGCAGCCGCGGUAAUACGUAGGGUGCGAGCGUUAAUCGGAAUUACCGGGCGUAAAGCGUGCGCAGGCGGUUUUGUAAGCCAGAUGUGAAAUCCCCGGGCUUAACCUGGGAAUGGCAUUUGGGACUGCAAGGCUUGAGUGCGGCAGAGGAGACUGGAAUUCCUGGUGUAGCAGUGAAAUGCGUAGAUAUCAGGAGGAAUACCGAUGGCGAAGGCAGGUCUCUGGGCUGACACUGACGCUCAUGCACGAAAGCGUGGGGAGCAAACAGGAUUAGAUACCCUGGUAGUCCACGCCCUAAACGAUGUCGACUGGUUGUUGGGGGUUUGACACUCUCAGUAACGAAGCUAACGCGUGAAGUCGACCGCCUGGGGAGUACGGCCGCAAGGUUAAAACUCAAAGGAAUUGACGGGGACCCGCACAAGCGGUGGAUUAUGU
rnacentral:rRNA from 1 species